ACAUUGGUGUUUCAGUGAUAGAAUUUUUACUUUCCAUGUAGGAGACCUGGGUUUGAUUCCCAGCCAAUGAC
rnacentral:tRNA from 1 species